UACGGAGGGUGCAAGCGUUAAUCGGAAUUACUGGGCGUAAAGCGCACGCAGGUGGCUGAGUCAGUCGGUUGUGAAAGCCCUGGGCUUAACCUGGGAAUUGCAGUCGAUACUACUCAGCUAGAGUAUGGGAGAGGGUAGUGGAAUUCCCGGUGUAGCGGUGAAAUGCGUAGAUAUCUGAAGGAACAUCAGUGGCGAAAGCGACUUCCUGGACCAAUACUGACGCUCAUGUGCGAAAGCGUGGGGAGCAAACAGG
rnacentral:rRNA from 1 species